rnacentral:rRNA from 1 species
AGAGAGAGACAUGCGCGCAUAUCAAUAAGCGGAGGAAAAGAAACUAACAAGGAUUCCCCUAGUAACGGCGAGUGAAGCGGGAAGAGCUCAAAUUUGAAAUCUUAAAGGGUUUCCCUUUAUGAAUUGUAGUUUAAAGAAGUGUUUUCUGUUGAGGUUUUGGUAAAAGUUCUUUGGAAUAGGACAUCAUAGAGGGUGAGAAUCCCGUAUUUGACCUUUACUUUCAACUUUGUGAUACACUUUCAAAGAGUCGGAUUGUUUGGGAAUGCAGUCCAAAAUGGGUGGUAAAUUUCAUCUAAAGCUAAAUAUUGGCGAGAGACCGAUAGCGAACAAGUACCGUGAGGGAAAGAUGAAAAGAACUUUGAAAGGAGAGUUAAACAGUACGUGAAAUUGUCAAAAGGGAAGCGUUUGACACCAGUGUUGUUUUUCUGAAAAUCAAUUAAAGAACUGUUUAUGCUAAGCUGUUUAGACUUUAUCAGCUAUCUGUUUAGUUUUGAGCUUUUCUUUAAUGCACUUUUCAGUUAACAAGUCAACAUCAAUUUCUUUUGCUGUAAAAAAGCUUGAGGAAGGUGGCUUGAGAUUCGUCUUAAGUGUUUAUAGCCUCUUGCCUAUGCAGUCGGAGAGAUUGAGGUCUGCAGCGUAGAUCCUUCGGGGCUAAAUGCAUUUGAUGCUAAGUUAUAGCAUUUUAUAGACAACUUGUUGACUAUGAUUUGUCUUGUAGCUUACUCGCUUAUGUUAUUUUACCUACGCUUAGGAUGUUGACGCAUGAGAUAUACGC